CCUGUCCAGUAAUCAGGAGCAUCUGUGCAGCAUUAUGGAAAUAACUGGAAAUACAAUAGAGGUAGAGAGAGAGUUCUGUCAGCUCUUAACCAGGCCAAAAUUGUACUUCUUAUGCAAUUGGGUGUAUAUAUGGCUGAUUUUGUUGUUUGUUGUUGUUAUUGCAUUUUCUUACAACAAAUGGACUUUUCCUUAUAAGAGCUUUCUGCUGGGGAUGCUUUAGUCCUAUUUUUUUUUUCUUUUUUUUUCUUGUAUGCUUAAGCUACAGCAUGCCCUGGUGAGUAGUAUGGGCUCUACUCUGGCCUUGGGUAAGCAGGUAUAAAGUUAGCAGAGUUAUAGCCUCCACAACUAGACCUGGCUUUUGGCCCCAUGCCUGUGUGGCUCCCUCGCCAAAGCAGAAUUUGCCGUUUCUGCUAUUUGUGUAUUUAUUUAUUUUUCCUCUCCCGGCCCCUGAUAAAUGUCAUUCUUCAACAUGCAGUAUCUGUCUCCUGCUCUCUUGAGGUGGUACACGAGCAAAUUGAUGAAGAAACCAUUGACAAAGUCCUGAUGGUAGAGGGGGUGAUGAUGAAUUGGGAGCCAUUACAGCAGGCUCUGGACUCAAAAGCAGGAAUUAGCAGGCUUCAGCUUCUCCUUCGCAACAAACUGUGAAGAGCUUCAGCAGGAGGUUGGCUUCAGGGAGAGGCAAUGUAUCGGAACACAUUGCAAAAGACACUUCUUGCAAGAAAACAUGAGUAAGUAAAUGAAAUACUGCUUUUCCGCCUGUAGCUGGAACUCAUUUUCCAAGGACCCCUGCUGAAGAGACUCCCUUGGGUGUUUCACAUAAAUGUUUUCACUGAGAGUGGUCCCUCUUCCUCGAGUGGGCAACAUGGUGUUCUUCAGUUCUUUUCGCUCUGCCCUGCCUGCCCCUGUUCGUUUGUCCUUGAGCACCCCUUACCUGUGGUAGAUGUGACAGUGAAUACCAGUUGGUGUGACCUUAGUCACACUGAAAUGGUGAUGGAAGGGUAGCACUUGCACCUCUGUGGGACUAAGUGGUGAAAGCAAGCAGCUAAAGCUUUAACAAGUAAGGCAAAACUUGGCCUGCAUGUGUGUCAUAGAAGGCUCUUGUGUAGGGAUUUGUCUGUGAAUACUCCCAGUACUUUAUGCGUUUGAGACUGGAUUCAGUGGCUUAGGGUGUACCCUCACAGUGGCAGGCAAAAGUCAUUAGUGAUGCCACCAUCAGUCUGUGAGUGCUGACGAGCGUGUAUCUCAUGUUAAUUCUGGCUAAUUAGUGCGAGGGCUAAGUUUAAGUUUGGCAUUCAUCUGUUUUGUUUCCAUGUUUUCUCCUAUAAUGGAGCUGUUCUUUUCUGAAUGCUUUCAUAUACUGGAGU
rnacentral:lncRNA from 1 species